rnacentral:rRNA from 1 species
UACGAAGGGGGCUAGCGUUGCUCGGAAUCACUGGGCGUAAAGGGUGCGUAGGCGGGCCUUUACGUCAGGGGUGAAAUCCUGGAGCUCAACUCCAGAACUGCCUUUGAUACUGAGGAUCUUGAGUUCGGGAGAGGUGAGUGGAACUGCGAGUGUAGAGGUGAAAUUCGUAGAUAUUCGGAAGAACACCAGUGGCGAAGGCGGCUCACUGGCCCGAUACUGACGCUGAGGCACGAAAGCGUGGGGAGCAAACAGG